GGUCCUGUAGUUCAACGGAUAGAAUAGUCGCUUCCUAAGCGAUAGAUAGUGGUUCGAUUCCACUCAGGACUGCCA
rnacentral:tRNA from 1 species